rnacentral:rRNA from 1 species
GACGAACGCUGGCGGCGUGCUUAACACAUGCAAGUCGAACGGAAAGGCCCUGCUUUUGUGGGGUGCUCGAGUGGCGAACGGGUGAGUAACACGUGAGUAACCUGCCCUUGACUUUGGGAUAACUUCAGGAAACUGGGGCUAAUACCGGAUAGGAGCUCCUGCUGCAUGGUGGGGGUUGGAAAGUUUCGGCGGUUGGGGAUGGACUCGCGGCUUAUCAGCUUGUUGGUGGGGUAGUGGCUUACCAAGGCUUUGACGGGUAGCCGGCCUGAGAGGGUGACCGGUCACAUUGGGACUGAGAUACGGCCCAGACUCCUACGGGAGGCAGCAGUGGGGAAUAUUGCACAAUGGGCGGAAGCCUGAUGCAGCAACGCCGCGUGCGGGAUGACGGCCUUCGGGUUGUAAACCGCUUUCGCCUGUGACGAAGCGUGAGUGACGGUAAUGGGUAAAGAAGCGCCGGCUAACUACGUG